rnacentral:lncRNA from 1 species
CAGCAGUGGGCAGCUCAUUGACCACAGAUCCACGAGGAAGUAACAGAGAGAGCUUUGACUUGACCAACUGCACACCCAAACCAGGACAACUAGGAACCAGCUGCGUGUUCAUCAUCCCCAUGCAGCCAACUCUCGGAUCCAGCUUCAGCCAGAAGAGGCUGGAAACAGGACCCAGGGUUCCAGAGCUCCAGACGAGUGCCUCACAGAGCUACCUCUCUGAGCCCCCAGCCUGGGCUGGGCAGGGGAGGUUAAGGCUGGAGCUGCCUUGGCAGUUAGUGUUGGUCUUGCAGUUUCCAAAGGCCUUAGGAGUUCCUGGAGCAAAUGUUUCCUCUCCUAAGAACACUGUAGCAGAUUAAGGAAGGGGCGUGUCCCCACAGUAGCAUUAAAGAGCAGCAUCCAUUACCAAUGGUGGUCUAGCCUGGUAGCUAGAAUAACUCUCCUAGAGUUGAGCCUGUGUGAGGAUCUGGCUCUCCCAGCCCUGCUGGCCACAAGCUUGGCCAGGUU